UAUACAAGCCCAAUGAACAGAACUAUAUAAACCAUAAGUUGAAAACAUGAUCUCAUGGAAUGCACUACAGCACAUCAUCUCAGGGAUCAGACAUGACCACCAACAAUCCCACUCAAAGGAUGCCUGGCCUAGCCAGGUCUUACAACCUCAAUCUGCCUGGCCCGGCCAGGUCUUACCACUCUGCCUGCCUGGCCCAGCCAGGUCUUACUAUCUCUGCUGCCUGAUCUAGUCAGGUCUUACCUACAGAUGGCUGCCUGGCCCGGCCAGGUCUUAUAACAGAGUUUGGGCUAUUGGAGUCGCCUUGGUCUAUCCACAGCCUCAUACGCAUCGUAUAUGCAAUGCAGCAUAUUCGUGAAACUAAUGC
rnacentral:lncRNA from 1 species